rnacentral:rRNA from 1 species
CGGCUCAUCACAUCCUGGGGCUGAAGUAGGUCCCAAGGGUAUGGCUGUUCGCCAUUUAAAGUGGUACGCGAGCUGGGUUUAGAACGUCGUGAGACAGUUCGGUCCCUAUCUGCCGUGGGAGCUGGAGAACUGAGGGGGGCUGCUCCUAGUACGAGAGGACCGGAGUGGACGCAUCACUGGUGUUCGGGUUGUCAUGCCAAUGGCACUGCCCGGUAGCUAAAUGCGGAAGAGAUAAGUGCUGAAAGCAUCUAAGCACGAAACUUGCCCCGAGAUGAGUUCUCCCUGAGACUUAGAGUCUCCUGAAGGAACGUUGAAGACGACGACGUUGAUAGGCCGGGUGUGUAAGCGCAGCGAUGCGUUGAGCUAACCGGUACUAAUGAACCGUGAGGCUUAACCUUACAACGCCGAAG